UUUCCUGCUAUCUUUACAAAAAAGAUCAGAAAAGGCAGGUGAGCAAGAGAAGAGAAAGUCAGCAAGAUUGCCCUGCCUCCCCUCCCUGAACUAGAGAGUCGAGCAGCAUUCAGCUGGUGGAAACUAACACUCCUGGGGUGUUAAAAAGUCAGCUGAGCAAGCUGAUCUAACUGGAGUUAACCUUGCUUUGAGCAGGGGGUUGGACUAGACGAUCUCCAGGGGUCAUGCUCAAGUUAAAUUUUUCUGUGUUUUGACAAUUCUCUCCACUUCUAAACAUACAAACAAAUUAAUGUAAUUUUUUACUGUUUUGGUGAAAUUCCUUCUUGAUAUUUAAAAACCAUGAAUUGUGCACAUGCAAGCAUGAAUUGUUUUGCUUCACUGGGCAUGAUCAUCGUAUUACUCUAUUUUGUUGUGAUCUUGUGCCAAAAAACAAGAAUUCUGCUCUGUUCCAUAUACUGAAGCAUAAAAGCAGGGGUCAGUGAAGUACAAUCCUUUUAUACACCACAUGACGAGUCUGUUGUGUAGCAUGUUGUAUUCACUAAUCAAUAUGAGAAGAUCCAUCUUACACUGGAGGUUUUCAAAAAGCAGCAAUGAAGGAUGCUGGUGUCUAACUUAGGGAGGUGUUAAAUUAAAAUCUAACAUUUUAGCUGAUGAGCAACAAAAUCAGUGACAGCUAUCUAGAUAAC